rnacentral:rRNA from 1 species
UAACACAUGCAAGUCGAACGAUGAAGCCCUUCGGGGUGGAUUAGUGGCGAACGGGUGAGUAACACGUGGGCAAUCUGCCCUGCACUCUGGGACAAGCCCUGGAAACGGGGUCUAAUACCGGAUAUGACCAUCUUGGGCAUCCUUGAUGGUGUAAAGCUCCGGCGGUGCAGGAUGAGCCCGCGGCCUAUCAGCUUGUUGGUGAGGUAAUGGCUCACCAAGGCGACGACGGGUAGCCGGCCUGAGAGGGCGACCGGCCACACUGGGACUGAGACACGGCCCAGACUCCUACGGGAGGCAGCAGUGGGGAAUAUUGCACAAUGGGCGAAAGCCUGAUGCAGCGACGCCGCGUGAGGGAUGACGGCCUUCGGGUUGUAAACCUCUUUCAGCAGGGAAGAAGCGAAAGUGACGGUACCUGCAGAAGAAGCGCCGGCUAACUACGUGCCAGCAGCCGCGGUAAUACGUAGGGCGCAAGCGUUGUCCGGAAUUAUUGGGCGUAAAGAGCUCGUAGGCGGCUUGUCACGUCGAUUGUGAAAGCUCGGGGCUUAACCCCGAGUCUGCAGUCGAUACGGGCUAGCUAGAGUGUGGUAGGGGAGAUCGGAAUUCCUGGUGUAGCGGUGAAAUGCGCAGAUAUCAGGAGGAACACCGGUGGCGAAGGCGGAUCUCUGGGCCAUUACUGACGCUGAGGAGCG